UGCAAGUCGAACGCUUUUUCUUUCACCGGAGCUUGCUCCACCGAAAGAAAAGGAGUGGCGAACGGGUGAGUAACACGUGGGUAACCUGCCCAUCAGAAGGGGAUAACACUUGGAAACAGGUGCUAAUACCGUAUAACAAUCGAAACCGCAUGGUUUCGGUUUGAAAGGCGCUUUUGCGUCACUGAUGGAUGGACCCGCGGUGCAUUAGCUAGUUGGUGAGGUAACGGCUCACCAAGGCAACGAUGCAUAGCCGACCUGAGAGGGUGAUCGGCCACAUUGGGACUGAGACACGGCCCAAACUCCUACGGGAGGCAGCAGUAGGGAAUCUUCGGCAAUGGACGCAAGUCUGACCGAGCAACGCCGCGUGAGUGAAGAAGGUUUUCGGAUCGUAAAACUCUGUUGUUAGAGAAGAACAAGGAUGAGAGUAGAACGUUCAUCCCUUGACGGUAUCUAACCAGAAAGCCACGGCUACUCUGCCAGCAGCCGCGGUAUACGUAGGUGGCAAG
rnacentral:rRNA from 1 species